rnacentral:snoRNA from 1 species
GCUGCUGCUGCAGCUGCUGCUGCUGCUGCUGCUGCUGCUGCUGCUGCAGCAGCAGCAGCAGCAGCAGAGCGAUGAAAGGCUCAGAGAGGCCACCGAGGCCCCAUC